ACAAUGAUAUAUUUUAGAAAACAUUAAAUGUAAUUAUUUGCUAAAAACAAUGGUCUGUUUUGGCCAAAACCAACAAUUUUGGUCAGUUUUGGAUGGGUCUUAGUUGGAAUGGAUCCAUUUAGAUUGAAACAAAUUGGUUUCGGCCAAAACUAUAGAUCAUGUAUAUGAGGGCGCUAUUCCAAGAAAAGAGAAUAUUAGAGGAUAGAGAUUUUGUUUCCCCCUCUUUAUAUAUUCAUCAUCUUCUUUUCCUCCCAUCAAGUUAAUUGACUAAUGCACCUAUCUUUAAAACCUACUCUCUUUUCUUUGGUUGGAGAUGGAAACUCAUCUUGGAAUAAUUGAUUUUUGCUUUUAUUCAUCAGGUAAGCAUUCAAGUGAUUGUACUUCAGGACAUUCAUGAAUUCCCUUUUAAUUUCUUAUUUUAGUCAUCUCUACUUGUAAAUAUAAAUCAUACUCAAAUAAUUCUAAUUUUAUCUUAUAAUUUUCUUUAAAGGUAGCAUUUGGAUGUUGGAUAGCUAACCAAGGGGAAGAUAUUUUUAGCUCCAAGUGACCACCCAUUAAUCACUUGUCCUUGGAUUAGUAAUAUUCCCUACUUGGUUGAAGUUUAAGGGCCUGUAGGAUAAUGUCUGGAAGAAAGUGCAAAAAAUAGGAGGGAGAGGAGAGAGUUAUGUGAGUUAAACUUAUUUUGUUGUGCUAAUUGGGCAGACUUAACAUCCCUUUUCUGGAUAAUGUUUCGUUGGUUAAGUGAAUAUACCUUCACCAACACCCACUUAAUAUGCAACCAAAGAAGGCCUAAGUAACUUUUCUGUCACCAGGUUUCAGAGUUCGUUUGAACUUGAGCUGAUUCAUUAUAGCUUCAUUUUCGACUUAUAUCUAUAACUCAUUUUCUUCUUUGCUCUUAACUUGUUUUUGAAAUAUGAUUUGCUGGUUCUUUUGCAUCUCUUUAUUUUUCUUCUAUAUUAUCAAUCUCCUCAUGGGAAUACUAUUUUGUUUUAUGGUCAUCUUUGGGACAUCCUUGGGGGACAUUAAGAUAGGGUUCCAUCUCAAGUGUUGGGACAGGACCAUCCCGCCAUUGUCCUAAUGUCCUAAUCAGCACAUCUUGGGACAUCACCUACUCCGAAUGUUAGGAUUGUGCGGGAUGGUGAUGCAUCCCAUUCUAUAGAAAAUUCGGGACAACCCCAUGUCAUAAGAUUUAAAACCUAUGUUUACUUUUAUUGGAUAUUGGAUACAUAUUGCCUCAUUUCUAGCCAUUUUAAGGGGAGCUUCUUUUGGACUUGAAGGAAUUACAUAACAUUUCCUGUUUAUAUUUUUUAGGAGGUGCAUUUAAAUAAAUAAAAAAAAAAUAAAGUAGGUGUUAGGGAUAGAACCACCAAAUUUCGGUCAUGUUCAAAUGAGAAUCUUGAUAUUCUACAUCAAUGGCGGUUGUUGGCUCGGGAAUUGAUGUUGAUAAACUUUAGAGUUGCACAUAUGGGUUGGUAGAGCUUGGCCAAAAGUUGUCUUGGGCUAUGUGUACACUUGGCCAAGCCCAGCCUAGUUUGAGUACCCACAUUCUUUACCCAAGAGUCAAAUUUUCAUAAUAAAAAGAAAAGGAGCGAAGCUAGGGGUAGUGGCCCUGGGGGCCUGCCACCACCACCACCAAAGUUUGAGAUUUUGCUUCAAGGCAUCUGUACAAUACUAGCACUGACCCCUCCUAAAAUUUUGGCAUUGCCUGUUCCUUUAGAUCUUGCCAAUUUUUUAGGUAAUUGCUUGACCUCAUUUGUAAUUUCCUCUCAAUAACUUGCUUUUCUUGGUUUUCACCCUUAUAUGGAAAAGUUUUGAGUGCUAUCUUUCUCUAAUAAAUAAGAAAUCUUGGAUUUGAAUGCCACGGAAACUACUGCUGAUAUGUUUUACUCAAUAGUUUUGUUUCUACCAUAGUAAUCUUUACUCACUUGUAUCAGAGAACCGACCUUGAAGUUUCCAUAUUGCUAUAGUUUGAAUGAACAUUAUGUAUUGUUUUAUGUUUAUUGUUGUUUCCAUCAUUCAUUCAUACUUUCCAAAUUCUAAUUCAUGUAUCAAUCUAGUCCUCUGCAUCACACCAAUCCAACAAUGGGUGUGUAAACGGAUGAAAUAUAAAUUGGAUGGUCCCAGUAUUUAUUUACUUUUGUAAUAACCAAUUUUGAUUGGUGAGACCCAUCUAAUGAUCUAAGUAACCAAUGGAUGAUUUACUUUGUAGAAAUAGGUAGAUACAAAAUGUUGAACCAAGGUUCGCCAUCUGCACCCCGUACCAGUGCUAUAUUGGUGCAAUGUUGGUACACCUGGUACAGGGGUUGCUGUAUGCCCUCUAUAUCGAGUCUUGGUUCGGUACUCUUGGUACGGGAUGGUACAUACAGGUAUAGUGAAUCUUGAUAGGAACUCAGCUUCCUUGAUCACUAGUACAUGUUUGUUGCUCAUUGCCCAUCGCAAUGGAAAAUUUGUUGCGGUAGUGUGAAGGUUUUAAAUACUGAUAUCAAACUUCUUACAAAUUUUUCAUUAGAACAGUAUGAUAUUAGUACGGUACCAAUACCAAUAGUAUGUAUCUAAAUCGACAGCAUCGAAAAGAAUGAAAACAAUCAACACCAGCAUACUGUCAACAUAGUACUAUCAAUAUGUAUCGGUACACUAGUAUGGCCAAUACAUACUGAUAUGGAUCAUUUCGGUGUCUCGGCACUCGUACUGGUGUGGGUUUCACAUCAGAAUAGUAUGAUACUGAUGUUACUGUCCUGUUCUGGCAGUUUCUAAAUCUAUUGUAGAUACCUGCUUGUAUGAGUUUGUGGUGCACUUCUCAUGAAAAAUGAAAAGGAACGUCCAUAAAACAUAUACUCUUAGAGUUUUUCGAUCUUUUACCCCUUUAAAUUUUUAUGGUCUUUUUUUCUUUCCAUCUUUUGUUUGUUUUUAAAGCAAGGUCCUCGUAGAUCAGCAGAAUAAAACAUGAUGAAAAAGUUGGUGUUUUGUUGCCUUUUUCCCUCCAAAUAUUACUGAAACUGAUUUUUUGUUAGGUGUAAUUAUUUUUUGGUGCCCUAUAUAAUCAAAAGACGAAGAAUUCAAUUCAAAAGUAUAGGCUCUUAAACUAAUUUUGUACAUAUAAGCUAAAAUUUAACAAAAGAAUUAAAAACCCUGAAGAUUUAAAAAACCUGGAACAAUAUGAAUUAGUCUUUUGACAAAAGAAUGCCACUAAUUACUAUUUGUUUUGUGGUCCUGGAUCAUUCUUGGGUGGCUUCUGAUUUUGAAGAACACAGGCUAGCCUGUUAUUUGAUUUGGGUAGGCAAGAAUCAUGGUUGCCAUAAGCAUAAUCUCUUUGACCUUCUGGUGUUUAGUUAUCUACUACAUAACACAUCUAUAUCAGUGUAUGCAUAAUAUGGUAACUAUAUAUUAUAUUUAUUUGGACUGGGUUGUCAUGUUCAUGAAAGGCUGGCCCUGGGUUCUUAUAUUGAUGUUUGGCCAUGAGUUUCAAGCUCACAACAAACCAAGCCAUGGUUAUUCAAACCCAGUUCCCUUGAAACAUAGGUUAUGUUUAUGCGCUUUGUACUAGGUUAUUUUAAAACCAUUAUAAAUUUUUAAUUUAAGUUGGACUAUCAAACAAUAUGCUUAUGUAAUAAUGAAAUACCUGUGCUUUUGAUGUUGAGGCUUUGAUACCACUAUUGAAGAUGCAGGUUCAUAAGUUGUAGUUGUAGUAUGAUUCAUGUGAUAUAAUUUAGGAAAAAUAAUGUUUAAAUGGUUUAGGUCUAAUACUGCAAUCAAGUUAUGUGACAUUGUUCCAGGUGAAACAAUGAUGGAACAAGAUUGACUUGGAGGCACCUGUCAAAACAAAAAGAGAAUGAAUUGGAGGAAUUACAAAAGUUGAUUAAUGGGAAGGUGGAGAGUCUGGAGAUGUGUAAGCUAAUGUUCUAUAUUAAGCUUCACUUGGGCAUGGGAAAUUUUCUUUAAACAUUGUUAGAUAGCAAGUUAUAAUGAAUAAAUGUUUUAAAUAGUUGCUUAUCUUAUAGAAGUGAAUAUUUGCUAACUCUGGUCAAUGAACCUUGAAUGUAUUUUAAGAUCUGUAGCCAAUCUUGCUAUUCCGAGAACUCCCAUAGGUCUGAUUUAGUCUACAAGUAGAUGUUAAUGUGUUACGCAAGGAGAGGAAAAUUAAGGAAAGUAAAGUGGAGCAUCUAAAUGGAAAAAGGAGACUUACCAUUUAUAAGUAGAGCUCUGUGUUGAUCUUGGCCAGACAUGGCCACAACUCUCUACUUUCUUUAGUCAACAUUAUUCCAGCACUUUUUCCAUAUGAGAUAGUUUGCCAUAUAGCCUUCACUUUGCUUAAUUAAAUAUAAUUUUUUUGACCAUACAAAUUGGCUUGAAAAAUUCUUUGUUAUUUAAAUCAGGUUUCUAAGUUCGCUAGCAAGGUUCCAUCCUUACUAGUGUCAAAAGCCUGGUCUGUUAUCAUUACAUUAGGCUAUUUGUAUUUUGGUUUCAUCUGGUUUGCUUAGUCCAAUUGGAAUUAGAAAUGUAACGUGAGUGUAUUUCCUCAAAUUUAACUUGUGCAGUAUUGUCUAGGGGAUCUUAAAUGAUGUAUCAUCAUUGACAUUUGAAUAAACAACUUGAAUUUGGUGACCCUUAUGUCAAGCUUUGCCCCAAAAAAGUCAGCAACUCAUUUCAAAUAACUAAAAAGAAAGUUCCCAUAUUAAGUAAAUGGAACAGGAGUUAUGCGUGCUAGCCUUUCAGGAAACUGCUUUCGGUAAAUUUAAUGAGAAAAAAAACCUUUUAUUAAAAUGUUGAAUAACAAAGUCAAUUCUAAACCAUAAAAUAAAAACUUACAGUAAAGUCUCGAUUGAAAACAAUAUUUAUGCCAAAACCUGGAUGACUGCCAAAAAAGAUAUGAAAGAAUUGUAAUAGAAACAACAAUUUAUCAUCUUAUGAACAAAGAGCUGAAGGAAAUUCAAGGUUGAAACUUAAAAGCAUAUUGCAAAUGAGUGCAAUUGGUUGAAUUGAAAGACAAAUGCUUGUGGAACAGAAACAGGAAAUUCUAUUCAAGGCAUUGAACUUGAAUUGACUUACCUGAGUACAAAGUUGGAGAAAUUUAUACUACAAAUUUCGAGGGGGCGAUGGAUAGAUGCUUUAGAGAGUUGCAUACUUGUGUAUCUUUAAAAUAGUAUGUCUAGGCUUGAUGUAUGGUUUCAGUCUGCUUGUAGGGGAAGUUGAACAAGUGCUACUCAUUCAUAUGUGUUGUUGAACCUUCUAGAAUCUAUUCAUCAAUCAUUUGUCACGUAUAUCACAAUUUUCUGUUCAUCAUCAAAUGGAUCAUCUGAAGUUGGGUUUAUGAAUUUUGCUUCACUUGAUAUUUCCAAUCUAUCCAUGUCAUAUAUAAGCUUGAGUUUCUCAAUUUUUUUCUUCAACCAAAUUCCCUUUUAUUUCCUGGUUGUGUCUCUAUACAUCAAUUAAAUUUGCAACUACAUCUGGCUUUUCAUUGACCUGCAUUGAUAAACUUCCGAAUAGCCUAUUCAAGCAUCACCCUACCCUCUUUUUCCUUCAAUGGAACUACCAUCCAUUUAUCCUAGGAUAGGCAAGUCUGACCUAAGAUGAACUUGUGAUGUUUGAUUGAAAAGAGGGAUGAAACCACUAACCUUUAUAGUGAUUGCAUUGCUUGUCUCACUCCAAGUGCUUGGAUCUUAAAUGCAGCUCUUUUGUUAAUUUUGUUGCUUUAUUUAAGGGAGCGAAACAUGAAAAUCACCAGUCAAAAGUGAGUAUAUUCAUCAAUUUAUAUAAAAUUGCAAAGAGCUAUAUCAAAUACAGCACACUUGCCCAAUGCUAGAGCUUUGUUUCUCUCCUUUCUGCCAUCUUAUAUCUCUCAUUUCUGCCAUCUUAUAUAUUCUCUUCGCCAGUAUGCGCCCUAUGCUGGUUAUUUCACUUUGAAAACUGAUGCCCAGCGUAGCAUGCCAGUGCAUGCAAACACCCCUUGUUGAUAUUGUUCUGGGUAAUUCCAUAGCUUUGAGCUGGCACUUGUAACAUUGUUGUACAAAUACUGCUGGAAAUGUCUUAAUAUGAUGCAUCACCUAUAAUCUGAUAUGUCUAUCCCAGCUGUGGUAAAAGACAUCAUUUCUUGGGCAGCUAAAAUGUGUUGUUAUGCAUGAUGUCUUCUUGAUUUGUUGGUUAAUUUUGAUGGUUGUUUAUGAUAAUCGAUUGGGGCCAUUAUCAUCGAGAAUGUGACCAACUGUCUGAUGGCAGGCUGCACUUGCUUCAUCAACUGAGAAGGGCAAGAACUUGGAUUCAGAGCAAGCCGAGAUGGUAAAAUCUGAAGAGGUUCCUUCUGCUGAACUCAUGCCCCAGAGAUUGGAGUCCAUGGAAUCAGUGACUGACCAGAUGGGUAGGAUCUCUCUUUCCACGGCAUCUGUGGUGGUUAGCCCUUCGACAAAUUUAAAGGAAGAUCCAAAACCAGAAGCUUCUGGUCCUGAUAUAGAUAGAAGGAUUCGAGCACUGAAAAAGAAGGUGACUUUCUCAUGCAUGGUGCAUGCCAUUUAUUUUGAUGACCUUUGUUUGGAUAGCAUUUUGUAGGCAGCCUGGCAAUAUCUAGUUUUUAUUGAAGAUGUCUUUAAGUUUUACUUUCUUCCUGAAGUUAGAGUUAAAAUUUAUGGAACAAGAUUAGAUCCUUAAUUCUGUAUGUUGAUUUGUUUUUGUGGUUUUUGUUGCUGAGUUUCUGAAGAUUUUUAAAAAGAUCAUGUAAUUUUUGGAUUUUUACAUAGUAUGUUCAGUUUUUUUUUUCCCACUUGUUAUAGCACUUUUUUAAUCUUCAGACAGGUCGCCAUUUUUGUUAUACAAGAUAAGUGGACGUGUAGACACAUGCAAGCACAGAAGUGAGUUCAUAUUUGAGUGGCUGAUGCCAUGUUGAGCAGCCAUCCAUCAUAUUUUUCUGGUUCAAUUUAAAUAAAAAAUUAUCCAUUUAUGUGAGAUGCUAAAACUUUAUGUUAGAAAUGUAUGAAAAGAUAUCCAGUUUUCUUCAUUAUUUUUGGGCAGUUAGGAGGAUCCUCCUAUCUAUUUCAUGCCCUGGGAAUUUGAAGUAAGCCUGACUUGCACUUUGUUUCUCCUAACAUGUGGUUUUAAGCAAAAUACACAGAAUUGAAGUAAAGGGAGAAUGAGGAAUACCAUGAGCGAUUGGUGGAUGAGAGAAGAGAAGGGGGGAGAGAAGGGUCUUAUAAACCAAGGGGUUAGCGAUGGGUUUUAUUUAUAUGUGGGUUUAAGCAAUUGUUUGAGGUUUUUCUUUCGAAAAUGGAGGUGAACAUACCUUCCAGCUGUCUUUUAAUGUUGUUUGGAAUGAUGAAAUGGGUCUAGCAUGUCUGACCCAAAAAAAUUGCAAAACACCAUGCCUAAAUCUGAGCUUGAAUAUUUUAAAUUUAUGUCUUGUAUCAUGUGUUGCAGAUUCGGCUUGCGGAAGCACAGUUACAGGGAAACCAACAAAAUUUGAAACCUGAGCAGUUAGAGAAGAUGGCAAAGAUGGAAGGAUGGCGCGAAGAACUGAAACUUCUGGAGGACAGAAAGGCCAAUCUGGUUUCAUGAGUUGCACUGGUUCAAUGAACUAGUUAUCAAAAUCCUAAUUUCAACUGGUUGUGAGUGCUCUUUUUUUGUGAAAUCCAGCUCUGUGGGCUAUAUGCUCAGUUUACUUGUGGGUGUUCUUAGCCAACACCAGUAUCAGAUAAAUUGAUUUUAGGACCUGUGACUGUGCGGGUGGUGUACUUUAGUAUAGUUAAUGUGCGGGUGAAUUGUGCACUUUAAUUAUUUAUCUUAAUUAGGUACUUAUGCCCACACAGUUCAUGCUCGCAGAUGUACAUGUCCUCAAACUGGUGACGGAUAUUUACCAUUUCAACUGUUCUGUUCUCUCAGGUCAGUCACCCUUGUUGCCAGUUAUAUUGGUAAUUUGCAUUGCUGUAUUUUCUGCCUUCGGAAACAACUGGUAAAAGAUUAUUUUGCCCUUAUAUUAGUGGAAUAGAAUGUGUAACAGCUGCAUGACUGCAUGCUAUAUAGGUGUUUACUCUGUUUAUAUUCAUAUUGAGGUACUUGGACGGCCUUGUUUUGAGUACUCUAAUGAAAAUUACCCCAGCAAAUAAUUUCUCACAGUCGCAUAAUAAAAUUGCUGAAUCGGAGAAGUCUGAAUGAUAUUAGAUAUUGCACCACGUAGGUAAUCUAGUAAAGUUCCACUGUCACAGUAAUCUCUUGAUCUGAAACACAACUGGAGCUUAUACUAAUGCAAAGUUGUUGUGGGGGUUAUCAUAUCUGUCGAUUUCUAUUACAGGAUCUCUAACUCUGAAAUGUUAUGGCAGGAAUUUUAUAUCUCUACUUAUUUCUAUUCUACUGCAUAACUGAUACUCCGAGAUGGUUGGUGAAGCACCAUAGGACUCCUCAACUUCCCAUCAUAUAUAAUUUUGUGGCAUCACAUCACAAGCAUCACACAUGCCAUAUGUAGCAUUCCAUAUUAGACACUUGUGGAAGCAAAUUGGAACCAAAAAACACAGAAAUAUUGCUACAUACAUGAUGCAAUUUUUUUGAUGCCAUGAAUGAAGGUACCUAAGCAUUCUCAUUGGUAUUUCCCACCUAGGUGCAAGGAUGGCGGUUCGCAAGAUAAACAGAUCAUUUGUUCAGUAUUUCCAAUAAAAUAGCACAACUAAACCUAUUUAAUCAAUCGAUUAAAAUAGGAGUAUGAGAAUGCCGUUCUUAAUUAAACGACAGGAACAUAUGUAAGAUUAUGUACCCAAAAAAUAAUAAACGUACACAAGAUCAACAGCCUAAUGCAAAUCCUUUAAACAGGUGAACGGAGCUUCUCUUAAUGUCCUCUCACGUGAAUAAAAUUUAAGUAAAAGAGAAAAAAAGAUAAACAGAUCAUUUGUUCAGUGUUUCCAAUAAAACACCAUGGCUAAACAUAUUUCAUCAAUUGAUUAAAAUGAUAAGAAAGAAUACUGUUCUUAAUUAAACAACAGAAACAUACAUAAGAUCAUGUACCAAAAAAAUGAGGAACAUUGAUAAGAUCAGCAGCCUAAUGCAGAUCAUUUAAACCGGUAAGCAUAGCUGCUUUUAGUGUCCUCUUAUGUUCAUAAAAUUGAAUUAAAAUAGAAACAGUAAACUGUUCAGCACAUGAACGGUGCUUGCAUGCAGAGAGCUUUCAAAAUGCGAACAUGCAAAAUUUCAGACGCCACAACCACACUGGCAAACCCAUGAAAUCCGGCUCAGCACACGCCUCCACCGCCUCUGAAUCCGCCACAAAGCCGAGCACAUAUUAGCGCAAAAAUUGCUAGAAAAAAAAAAAAAAAAAUACAAAGCAGUUGCAAAACAAAACUGGUAUUGUUUCACCUACACGGUCGCAACAUGUACGAGAGCUUUUAUCCUCUGGUAUGAUUAGCUCGCAAUCCCGUUGCGUUCUUCUAACGGAACCCAAAACUCUCCGAAUCCACAACCGAAACUUCCGUCGUAGGCCAUUCCUCAUCUAAGACAUGCCAACGAACUCAAGAUUAAAACUAACUAGUCCUUGAUGCUACCACUCACUCUUCGCACUAGGAUCUCUCAUUUGGUAAACAAGGAAUUGGUGUGACGAGUUCCAAGUCGGCUAGCUUACACUGAGAUCAGUGAAAGUGAAGGCCGCCUUCCAUUUCUUCCAAUCAGGUCUUGGUAUCUUCUUAUCGGUUUGGCUCUGCUCUGCAUGGAACUGCCUCAGCUCUUGAGAGUAAGCGAGAAGCAGCCCCCUGCGGUCGUAGCCAAGCGACGGUGGACGAGGUCUCCAAUGCUCGGUCGAAGGACGAGCUUUGGGUCUCAGCACUGGUUCUUCGUAGACUCUGAUGAUGACUUCCUUUCUAUCUGGGUGCUCUGCCUGGUGCUGCCUGCUAUCUUUGCCUUCCAUUUUAUAUGCUGAUCGUUUUUCUGGUCUGGUAGGGAGCUGAAUUCUUCUUUGGGAUGAGUUGGGAAGCCAAGAAUUUAAGCUGGAGAUCCCUCAUAAAGGUGGCGGGUUCAGACGGCAACAUCACGUCGAAAGGUCGAUGAGGUCCCAUAAUACAAGGGGUUUGAUAGUUAUUGGAGUAUGACAUUUGUUUAUUUGACCGCUUCUUUCUCCCAGUUUUGGCUUUGAAAAGGCCUGCGUGGUUUGCGUGCCAUCUGGGAGACGGUCCAUGCGCAAGUUCCUGUGUGGUUUGCGUGCUAUCUGCGAGUUUCUGUAAGCAUUUAAUGUGGUGCGCUCAAACUUCAAUAGUCGUUCUGGUGUUCGAGUUACACCACAACAUGAUAUAAAAUGCCUCCAAUCGCAACUGGAUCCCACAUCGUCUUAGUUUGAUUUUCAGAAAAUGCUCAACUGACAAUCACCCCAUGUGGACGGCUCUGAAGAAUCAUGUACAAGGGAUACCAAUGCUCAGGCUGGCUUAAAAUCUGAAUGAGAGCUUUAAAGACUUUUGAAGUGUGUUGGUGAAAUUUUUGCACUCCCGUAUGAUCAUAUUAAGCACAGCUUAUGGGCAUCACUUCUUCAAGAAACUUUCUCUUAUUUGCUCUAUUGUACAUAAGCUUCCGGGACUUGCAAUGCGUUCCUCCAAUAGCUGCAGCUGUUACAAAAUUUUCCUAGACAUUUUUACUCGACCGAGCUUCAUUUGCCAGCGACAACCUAUAGUUUAGCUAAGAAGAUGUUUAUGAUCUAACGGACAGGAUUUAGCAAUGUUUUAAAUUUUGAUGAGAUGGGAGCGAAACUUCGAAAUGCAUCCAGACAAAAUAACAAGAAGGAAGAGAAAAGAAAGGAAGAGAAGAAGAAAAAAAUUAAAAAAAUAAAAAUAAAAAUAAAAAACAUAUAUAAAUAAAAAAAGAGAAUAAAAAGAAAAUAAAAAAGGAAGAAAAAAAGAUAAAAAAAAUAAAUAAAUAAAAAAUACAAGAAUGGGCAAAAGGAGGGUGCCUACUAGGAUUAGCUGAUGGGAUUGGGCGGGAUAGCAGAAUAUCCGAAAAAUUAGACCUUCAUCACAUAAAAUUUAAAACAUCGGACAGUACGAGACCCUUUUAUUUUAUGCAAGCAUAUUCUGGAAAAAGGUUUGUGAAAAGACAUGCAUUUUCCCAUCAUUUAGGGAAGAAUGACCGCACGCUAUUCACUCAAUAAAAUACCAUAUUUUUAUAUUCAGAUUUUAUAAAUAAUCCAAUAACAGUGAAGAGUCCAGGCAAUUUCAUGCCCAAGUUCCAUCGUUACCCUUCCAAUACGCGAUGAACAAUCGCUGCUUUGAAUGAUCUAGCAAGAAGAGAACCAUGUAUGUCAAACAAAUAAGGUGCAGAACGAACCACCAUAUUCGAGACAUUUAAAGGAAAGAACCAGACAGUAACUCCAAAUUGAACAAAACCAGAAACGGGAGAUGUAUGCGGAUUCAGCCAUGGAUUCUUACCGGAAUAUGCAACAUGCCAAGCAACCAUAAUUAUCAGGGCUCAUCAAUGCUUUCUGGGCUGCCACCACCAGCCAGGUAAAUAAUUGACAUAAAAUACUGAAUACUGGAUGACACCUUAAGUAAAUGAACAUUAAUUUUUUUUUAAAAAAGAUAAUUCAAAUAUAUCUGGUAACUAAACAUCAUAAAUGUGGCCUUCCUCCACUUUAACUAGCCAAUAAUGAACCCUCCAAGCCAUCUUGAUUCUUCAUCAGUUCACACUUCUCCCCCGUCUCCUACCACGACGCUGCUGCAGCAGCCUCUGUUGUCUGUCAGAUCUGAUUACACGUGCUGCAGCACUUUCAUCAUAUUCCUCCGAGGAGCGAACAACAGUUAAAUCAGCAGCAGCAGCACCACCACCACCACCACCAGCCGCCGCCGCCAUGACAGGAACAAGACCAUCAUCCUCUUCCCUAACCUCAGAUACACCAUUGCUUAUGUUUCGCCGUGCACGGCGAGCAGCCUCCUGAAAGAUCAAAUAAAAAAUACUCCUAUUUCCUUCAAAGAUUCCAUCCCCAUCAUCAUCAGUAUCAAGUUCACUAUCAUCCAUGUCGAUCACAUAAUCACCAAACACCACUGCCCUUGGCAUCGAUGACCUUAUCGUACUAAGCACAUCUGCCCGCUCGCUCUGGUACUCCAAUGCUCUCCAUUUCUGUUCAUGUGCAGGGUCCACAGCAUGAGGCUUUGCAAAUGGAUGCUCAGCCUUCACAUGCUUCCAGAGCUCUUUGUAUGACCCCAUGAAUGAGCAAUUGUCCUGCAUGCAGCUUCUCUUUUUUCUAUUGAGAUGUUCUCGUGCUGGUUCCACCACUGUCCAUCCCUUCACCUGCCCACGACAUAGAGGGCAUGUUAGCUCCAUUACCUCAGAUUUCUUCCAUGCAGGCCAACCAUGGCUCAAGUUUUCUGCCAGAGUCUCAUUAUGAGAGGAUGCCUCUUUAGCAUAUGCCUUCUGGAAUUGAUCAAGGCAGUUAGAGAAGUGGUAGCUCGUCGCACACAUGUAGGGACGGCAGCCCUUGUCAUGAGACGAGCAGAGGAGGAGGACAGCAUCGUGUGGGAACUCCAAGCACACAGGGCACGUUGCAUCUUCCCAAUCCUUCUUUUCCCAGGCCAAUAAUGCUUUCCUUGGAUUUUCUUCUUUUCUGGGAACUUUCCUUUGGUAUGAAGGUAAAGGAUAUGGAGUUGACCUGAUCCUAUGAGAUGAACGGCGACGAUGGCUUCUGGUACUUCUUUCCAUCUUUGGCAAAAUCUGGAAAUCAAAAACACUCUAGAAUUUCAAAACCAACAAAAUUAAAUAUAUGAUAAAGGAAACUAGGAAAGGAAAUAAGCUGACUUCCACAACCUAAGGAAAUAACAAUAAGGUCUGAAACAAUCAUUUAUUUCAUCUGAAGUGAAUCAACCCAUGUAGAGUCUACACAAUUUACUUGAUCCUAUUAUAAUCAGAAUGAAAUUAGAAAGCAAAUGCUGGGAGAAGAAUUUGAUAGGGAGAUUGUCAUUAAGUUAUCAAAUGCAUCUAAUUACAAAAAGUCCUGUGAAACAAGGGCUUCCCACACCAAACUUAAACUGAUUACAGAAAUUAAUCAAAGGGCUGUGAUUUAUUAUGAAUGUGAUCAACAAUGGAACAAUAUACAAGCCAUCUGCUGUAUCACUAAAAUCCAAUUCAUGCACUAGCAGUUAUAUAAAACAUUAACAAUUAUAUAUCAAAUUGCGAAUGAGUACAUUGGACAAUUAGGCACUUAAUUUAUCACUUGCAAGUUGCAACGUUCCAUCUUAUUAGAAGCAUCAUGUUUCAGCCAAAUCAUUUUAUCUUUUAGCUUUGGCAAACUUAAAUGAGUUGUAGGGUGGAACUGAUACUCCACAAUUAUGUAUACAUUUGAUAUUUUGGCACAAAAGAACCGUACAAAAAUAAAAAAUAGGUCCUGGUCAGGUCUAGGGUAAAUUAGAUGAACAGACAUAUAAAGAAUAAGAAGCAAUCAUGUUUAAGUUGUUCUUUGGGGAAUCACGAAUCACAAUUUGACCUAUGCAUGAUGAAUAGGAUAUAUUGAAACAAUUAUAAGAUGGUUUUGAAAUAAGAUUGAUGAUUGAUUGUGAUCAUGCAUAUUAGUGCUAAUCAAGAUUUUAAAUCACAUGGCAUAGGGCUUUCCCGACACUUGUGACAAGGGAUGUUCCAAGAUGUGCCGAUUAGAACGCUAAGAUGAUGGCAGGACAAUCAUGUCUUGACACAUGGGAUGGCACCGCGUCCUAGUGUCCUGCGGGAUGUUCAUUGGGACUUGAAUCCUUAGUGCUAGUUAAGAGAGCACGAUAAGCUAUUCAUGCUAUAUAAAUAAUCCGACCCAUAAAAUACUGCCAAACAAGUUGGAUAUCCUCCUUUUAUUAAAACAAGAAUGUGGCAUGUGUGAUGCAUAUGAUUUUUAAUUUUAUAAAUAAAAUAAACGACGACAACAACAACAACAACAAUUUCCUGUAAUGCAUUCGAAAAGCCAUCAAAGAGUAUACCCCACAAGGGGGGGUGCGGCAAGGGGAAGAAGAAUUGAGCCUCCUAUGAAUUUCAUAGAUGAUUAACCCUAUCAUUAGGAUCACUCAGCAUAGUCAAGUCAAUUUCAAGAAUAGCAAAUCAAAAUUCUAUUUUUGGCUAGCCUUAUGAAGAAUUUGACUUCAGAGCAUCUGUCAUAACUUGAAUGACACACCAAAUCCAAAAACCUCAUCCAAGUCACGCAACACUUUCUAAAAUGAUGAUUCUAAUUUGGCCAAAUUAUUACUAUCCUUUCUUCACUUAAACAGGUCCAUGAGUUCAAAAUUCACCAAAUUAAGCAUAUAUCGUGGUAGCUUGACAUCAUAGGUCAUAACCUAUAAGCUGUAUAGGAUUGAUCAUGAGUACAAGUAUGCUAUGGGUAUCAAGAUUAUAUAUAUAUUGAAAUCCAUUUCAUGUACUAGAAGUUAUAUAAAACAUUAACAAUUAUUUACAAAACUCCAAAACUUCAUGAGAUCAGCCACAUAACUCUAAUCCAUAACAAGAAUAACAUGCAUACAUAGGAAACAUCUAAUUGUCAAAACUCAAGUGGUCGAGCAGUUGGAGUAUAUUAGGCUGAAUUUAUAACUACUCUAGCUACAAUUGUUCAGUUUGAUUGGAUGCGAGUGCAGAUGCAAAUACCAAUGGGAGAGGUGCAGGCAGGUAAUGUAAGGAACUGGGAGAAAACUGCCAAGGGGUGACCAUUAUUGGAGCCAAAAAAACAAGUGGCUUUUGAGCCAGGGGAAUGGAGAAGGGAAGGGGAGGGGUGCAUGUUUGAUUCAAAGAAAAGUGAGUCCAUCUUUGCCCCCUUGUAAUUAAAAUGGCAGCGCAGCAUUAUAUGCUACAACUUUCCCUAUGCUUUUCUUUUUUGCUCAAAAAGAAAUUCCUUAUGCUUUCUAUUAUUGUUACAACUUACAAAGCCCAAGACCACUUAUAGUCAAUCACCAUUUGCAUCCCUAUAGUCAACCAAAUAUGCCCAUAUGAAAUACUUGACAAGAAUUUUGAGAGAUGCAAGGGCUUGUGACCAAGGAUAUAUACCAAACUGCAUUUCAAUGCUUCAGUUUUAUAGAUCUUAUCUAGAAGAUAAAACCUACAACAGGAGGAGAUCUGAAAUAGAUUUUGGACAUGAAGGCAAACACAAAAUCCAACUAUUUUCAAAUUUCUGUGCAGAAAUUCUGCACGGGAAUAAAUCUACGUUACAAAGGCAAAUGUUUCUAUAAUCCCCGGUGAAAGCUCAAGCACAAAUAGGGAAUAGAAGGAUUAAAGAUAUAAAAAAGAGACUGGAAGAAAGAAGCAACUAUCUGUUAUUCAUCAUAGAACUGAUUUGACACCAUUUCUCCUUCAUUUCUGUUUAAAUUCUUAAUGGGACAGACACAACUUUUUAAUUGACCAGAACACUUCAAUACUUCUUGCAAAAGAAAUAAGAAGAUAAAGAAAAAUAUUUUUCCCUAUUUAAAAAUAGCAAAACCUAGAUCUAUGGAACCCCAGAUAAAACCCAUCAGAAAUAUUUCAGAACACUUCUUUGAAAGGUGAAAAGAGAAGGCCAUGAAAACAAAAUCUAAAUAAAAUCCAUAACUACUAAUUUCUUAUGCAAUGACAAUGAAUUUUAAAUAAAUAUGCAAAUGAUAUUAAGAUCAUGGUGAUCAUCUCUCUAAACUACUAGAAGAAACAAUCCUAUAACCAUUCGAACAUUCAAUUGUUAAAAUUAUGAAAACCUGUGCCAUUGGCCUUAUUUAUGUCUAGGAGAUAAAAUACAGACUUUCUUUCAAAAACUGCUUAGCAUUAAUAAUCACUAAAAUUUCCCUAAUACCUUUGGAAACCAUAAAAUAAUAAUAAUAAUUGGACGAAAAAACUCAUUAAAGCAGUAUUAAAGGGUUCAUGUAGAAGGGGGCCACAACAUUGUUGUUAAAAUCUUACGAUUCAUGAUCCGGAUCUUGCCAUCAGGAUCAAAGUGACCCUAAACAAUCCAGAUCCCAUCCUGAAUCAAAAUCAAUGGAGGAUCACAAGAUGUAGAUCUAUAUAAUGGAUUAUGCAUUCCUUUGGAUCAUAAAUCCAGCUUGAUUAAACUAACUGCACAUUAAAUCAUGGGCAGGUCCAAUGUCUUAACUUUGUGGAUUUUAAAUUAAUUAUCACCAAUAAGCAUUUAGUAGUAAAAUUAGCAGGUCUACUGUAUGAGGUUAUAGGGUUAAAAACAAGAUGCAAAUAUUUAUAUUUUUAAUUCAUAUGUUAAAUACUAUCUAAAUGGAUAACUAAAUUGAUAGAUAAUAUAUAAAUUUCUUGAAUAACCAAACAAAACAUUUGUUUCACUAGACAUGCUAUAUAUGGGUCUAUAUUGGUGAAAACUAAAGCGGCAUGUAUGACUUUUUAUUCUCCAUUCAUUUACUUUAUAGUUGACUUAUACUUCAAUUUUCACAUUGCUUUUAUAUCUAAAAAGUCCUAAAUAAUCAGAAGAAAUCUUAAGAUCUACAAUCAACUCCAAUCUGGCCCCCUCUACGAUUUACUCGAUCCCGAUCUUAACAACAUUGGGCCAUGCCCCACAAAAAAUAAAGCCUUCUGCCGACAGAAGACAAAUUCCAUGUUUGUGUCAGUUCUCAAUCUAGGUAUUUUAACCUCUCAUCCACUCAUCCUUGCUUUUCUCCUCUCAACCAAUAAAAUGUUCCUUAUUAAUUAUUUUCUUGGCACAUGUAAGCAAAGCAAAACACCACAAAAAAUGCAUGAGAACAUCAGUAGAAAGAGGCUAUGUUCUCUAAAAUGCUUGUUCAACGUGAGGGUUAAGAUAACUUUUCCUUUUUAUUCCAUAACCUUAGUCUAAAACAUUGCCAUACACCAUCCUUUAACUUUGAUAUUAUAAUAGUUUAAUUCUAUCCUAAAGCCUGGAAAUGAGAUUCUAAAAUCCAGGUCUGAAAUCAACUCAUUUUGUUCAAAUGCAUGAAUACUGGCACAUAGGUACAAUGAAAACUUUAUUGAUAGGCCAGACUUUUUGAUUGACAUGUUCUCACAAAAGGUAACUUAAAAACUCGAUCAACAUCCCUAGAUGUAGCAACUGAUACGUAUAUGAACAAGUCAUGCCACAUUUAGAAAACGAAGUCAUAGGGAAAAAAUUGGAGGAAGAAUUUACACAAGUACACUUAAGAAACCACCAAAGAAAAGGCCUUGAAAAGAUUUGUAUGAUCGUUCUCUCAAACAUAACUGCCAUUCCUACCAACUCAAGAUUCACCAGUCUAUCCACUUAAGCAUCUGCAACUUUAUAUUUUCCUCCAUGAUCCAAUGCAUCAAACAUGCACCUAUUAUGUGCAAGGAUCUCUAUAGGCAUGUACCAUGAUGUAUGCCUGGCAGUUUAACUUAACGAUAAUGACUCAAUAGCGUUGCAGAGUAUCCAUUGCUUUCCACACCAUAAGACAGUGAUGGUGGAUCACAUCAAAGCACAUAUGUAAACCUUGAUCCGAAAGUCCACAAGUUGACCCAUUCCAAUCAUUGCCUCGGAAUGAUUAGAUACAUAACAAGUACAUGGUCGGUAUCUAAACCUCAGAGCAUCUUGUGAACCAUAUAAAGCAUCCAUAUUUUUCUUCUUUUUCUGAAGGAAAGCUGAUCCCUAGAACACAUUGUCUAGUGCCCGAAUAACCCGUAUCAGGUGAUUGACAAAAGUUCCCUUCGAUAACUUCUCCAAAUACUUCACUUCAUAACUCCAUUGUCAGCAAAGAGAAUAGACUAAUAGUAAAUAGCCCGAUGAGGCCAUCGAUAAACAGUCCCAAGUACGAACCAAAUUAACAUUUCACAAAAAAAAAAAAAUCCAAAUUGGAUAUUAAAGUUUCUUCUAGGAACAGGAAGCAUAAUCUAUUUCCAAGAAAAACCUACCCCACUAAAUAUAAAACAAACCGAGAAGUGGAUGAGCAUAUAAAAUAAUAAAACCCAACAAUACAUCGCCUUCAAACAAGCGCAUAGGAUUGGCGCACACGACCUAAAUAAACACCAGAUGAAUUCCGAAAGAAGUAAGAAAAACGUUCGCAUCAUUCGCGAGACCGACGUGCACUCGACCCGAAUUGGGUGGAAUACAUGAGAGCAAUCAAGCCCUAGAAAAUGCUAGAAAUGGAAGGAGGAGAUGGGGGAGAGCUCGAGUACCUUGGAGGGCGACCGCGAUAUAGGGGAAAAUGGCGAGGAGGGGGUGCGGUGCAGAUCAAAGGGCGCGGAGGAGGGCCGGGCGCUGUCGCUCUUCCGACGGGGGAGGGGAUUCUCAAGACGUGGGGAUUUGGGGAAGAUGAGGUGGUGGCCACACUUAAUACCGUCUCGUGUUCGAGAAGUCUAGAGAGAGAAAGAGAGAGAAGAAAGAGGGGGAGGGGAGGUGGUUAGGUACGGACGCUUGCUUCUUACGCCAUUCUGUCGAGAUACGGCGUUUUCUUUGAAGAGUUUAGAUCAACCAAAGAACAUGACCCUCCAUGACCCCCCUCCAACGAGGCAGAAACUAUGUCGCCAUCGUGGGCCCACUUAUAAUACAUGGCGGGCAGGGGUUCUCUUGAAAAAUUUAAAAGCACACCCUGAUAAACGCACACCUCUCAAAGUUUGGGUGUCCCACAGGCACGAUUUGGUUGCGAUCAAUUUUGAAUGUGGGAUAGAUUUAAAUCGAACUUCUAAACAUAAAUACAACAAAUUUAGCUGGAAGGUAGUGGCAUUAAACUCUACCAAGGCUACAACAUGAUGAUACACAGUAGAAUGGGUUACCACACCGAGGCAUAAUAGAUGCAUAUUAGAGAACACAAAGAUGAUUGUGAUCUCUUAUAUAAUUAUUUUUUAAAAAAUUAUUAUAUUAUAUUUUAAAAUAUUAUAUAUUUUUUUAGAAGUUUUAUUUAUAGAGAAAUUAAUAGUACAAUUGAUUUUAAUUAUGAUUUUAUAUGCAACCUGAUUUCAAUUGAGAUUUUAUAUAUUUAUAGAGAAGUUAACGGUGCAAUUGAUUGAAUAGCAUCUUAUGUACCAAAUUAUGUGGGAUAUAUAUUAUGAGUUUUCUUAUAGAUUUUUUUGUUUAAUUUUUUGAUAUUUAAUUUUUUGAUUUUCUACGAAUAUAUCUAUAUCUAAUUAAUUUAAACCAUUCAAUUUACUAAAGAAAGUUGCACUUCUUUUAUCUCUCUUUUGAAAUAAAAAAAUAUUUAUAAAAAAUAUAUAUCUUUGAUAAAUUUUAACCAAUGAUGGACUUGUGAUAAAUUGACAUAAAUCAGUAAAAUAUUUUAUAAUAUCCUUGAAUGGUCAAAGAUGAGGCCAUUUAGUUGUAUGCUAUGGUAGACUAUAUUUGUAAUGCAUUCCAAAAGAAGUCUUGGCCACUAUAGCUCUGUCGGUAUGUCGCCCUAAUUUACUAGAAAUGUUUCAUAUCUGUAGCUAAAGCGAUGAGCCAAGUAAACACAGAGACGGCACCAUAUUUAAUUAAAAAGGAGCAAAGAACUAACUAAUUAUACCGUAUGUAAUUAAGAGGGAGCAAAAAACACAAGGAAACUCCAACCAUAUAAUUUGUUGGACUGUUAUGAUCCUAUUAACGUGGUUAAAUUAUUUAUAAAUUUAUAUUGAGGAUUUAUUUUUUCAUAUUUUACUGUUUAACUCCUCGCAUGGUUCCUGUCAAGUCUAGCUAAAUUCAUAACGAAUACAUGAGAAAUAGCAAAAAGUGUUGGCAACGUAAAACACGUAUAAGAGAAAGCAUAGGUGUCUGUUAUACCUUCAACCUUUUUCUGUUAGCUGUACUGUUGAUGUAUACCAUCCACUUUAUCCAUGCGCUCCGUUUUUUUAUCCCCUUUAAUAAUUAAAUUAAAAUGGAUAUUUUAAUCGAAAUAAGAAAAAUGUGCAAACAUACACAAUUGCCCCAAGGUUUUUGAUUUAAGAUCUCACGAGCUUCUGGACGGGUAGCCCAACCCAUUUGGAUUAGAAACUAAAAUAGUGGGAUGGAGAAGUAGGUAGCAGCUGGUGGAGAUUUUUGGAGGCAAAUAAAUUAAGUAUAUAGAUACAUAAAAAUAAAAAUAUAGAGAAACUUACGUGAGUUAGCCGAUGCUUACAUCCACGGAUGAUAAAAUAGAGAUGCAUUAUUUUAAGAUUAAAAUAUAAAGAAAAAAAAUUUCAAAUCCUAAUCUCUUUACAUCCUUUUCUCACAAUCUCUCGUGCAUACCAUGCGCACCAUGUACACAUAAAUCCAUAGCCUUACCUUUCUAUUUAUAGAGGUAUAAGAUCUCUAACUAAAUAGGAAAUACUGUAACUUUUAUUUAGUUAGAAAAUACAAGGUAUAAAAUCUUUAACUAAAUAGAAAAUAUGAUAAUCCUUAUUUAGUUAGGAAAUAUAUGGUAUAAAAUUUCUACCUUGACAAAAAAAAGGCUUGGACAUUUGAAUUAUAGUCAAUAACUCAAUAAUCUCUACCUUGACUUCAAUUUGAAGCAUGCAGAGCUCCACAAUUUCCAAAACCGUUGAAUGGCUAUACAAAAAUACUGGUGGAAUCAAUCAUAAUGUGAUGCGGAUCAUUUUUUUCUUUGAGAUAUACAAUCCUACCUCCACCAUGUUUAUUCCUCCGAGCUGUGGCUCCUUGCAGAUUGUAUAGGUUAGAGUCAAGUGACAGCUUCGCUUUCCAAACUUCACAAGAUCCCUUUCAAAUGUGCAUGAUUUUAUCUCGCACAUAUACUCCAUACCCCUUCGACAACAGGUAGUCCAGUGAAAUCAAAAUAUCCUCUAUCCUGAUUUGUUAGAAAUUAAAGUUAUCAGAUCUAUCAAAUUUCUCGAUUUCAAACUUUUCAGAUAUCUUGAAAUUAAAAUAAAAGUGUCUUAGAGUCUGAAUUUUGCAAAAAUAAUCUCAAAAAUGGAUUCAGCAUGUCCAAAAAUCUUAGAAACCAGUAUUAAAAUUUAAAAAAUUGACCUAAAAAUGUGUGAAUCGAUGGGUCAAAUUUUGGUCAAAGAGUUGAUGAUGCGGCGCUGAUGUGACAGUAGAGACCGACUACAUAUUGAUAUGGUCAAUGCUGAUUGACGGCUGAUGUGGCAGAUAUGUGGCAGUGAUGUAGCUGACAAGUGGCCACUAAGGUGUGCACUAUCCUGGUAAAGAUCUGCUAUGAUAUGUGGCAGGUUCUGAUAAGAUAGACUGAUAACGUGGUCGAAAAUGUUGACUGAAAUUGUAAAACUCUGACCAAUAUAUUAGAGGGCUUAUCAACUUUUGAUUGACAUAAAAUUUCACCUCUCACCUUUUUUGAUGCUGAGAAUGCAACCGUCUGAUCAAUUUUUUGAUUUAAGACCUUGAGAUGCAUGAAACAAUACUGAUAGCCCUUAUAUGCAUCCAGAAAUCGCCCACUAUGAGCAUGAACUUCGAUCAAUCUUGUCCUAAAAGAAGAGAAAAAAAAAUCCAACGAUGCCCUGAUACUAGUUGUUGGAGAUUUUUGAAACAAGUAAAUCAAGCAAAUAGCACAUAAAAAUAAAAACAAAAAGAGAACAUAGAAAGUUACAUGAUUCGAUCGAAGCCUACAUAUACAGGCGAUGGAACGAAGAUGCCCUAUUUCAAGAUUAAAAUACAAAGAGAAAAACUCUCAAAUCUUAAUCUCUUUCCGUCCUUUUCUUACAAUCUCCUAUACAUACGAUACGUAUCAUGCACACAUAAUCCAAAGCCUUAUCCUCCUAUUUAUAGAAGUAUAAGAUCUCCAAUUAAAUAAAAAAUAUGGUAAUUCUUAUUUAAUUGAAAAAUAUAAGAUCUAAAAUCUUUAACUAAAUAGAAAAUACCGUAACCCUUAUUUAGUUAGAAAAUAUAUGGUACAAAAUAUCUACGAUCUGGAGUCAAUAACUCAAUAGUAACAAUGGUUGGGCCAUGCUACAUUAGACAAUAAAAUAAUUCAAAACAUGCUGAACCACUUUGCACUUAAUCCCUUCUUAGUUCUUCUCUCCUAAAACCCAUUUUGAAAAUUCAUGAUUUAUGUAUCUAAAUAUUCAUAAGUCAUAAUUAUUAUAACAGAGCAGUUAGUGUUCUAAAACUUCCAUAAAUGGAAUGCAUUAACCUUUUGAUGG
rnacentral:lncRNA from 1 species